CUCUACCAAACAUGGGUGCCCUUUUCUUCUUCUCUCUCUCUCUCUUUGGCAUUUUGCCAAUCCAGCACUAUUUUCGCUCAAUCUCUAUUAAUUCCAAGCACAAUAUUCUCAAUCGAAUCAUAUCAGAUGAGGGGACGAGAUAAAAAGGGAGGAAUCACCUACGUUAGUUAUUAUGAAGAGAGGGCUUAGAUUUUUUUAAUUUGAACAGGUAUCCAAACGGCCUCUAAGACUAUUCAUCUUUUUUAGAAGGAGAUCACAAUUGCUAUUAGCUAUUAGAUAUCAACUUGGAUGACCUGGAGUAUGUUGCAAUGUUUGAGAAAUCUCACAAACAAG